rnacentral:lncRNA from 1 species
AUGAAUUAUAGCAGAAUGACAAAUUGAAAGACAAGGCAUUUGCAGACAUGCAAUAUAUCCCACAAAAAUGGUGCAAAUGAUCUUGUAAUGGAAAAAAUAUUUCAAAGUAAUGGAAAAAAUUGAAAUAUGAGACUAAUAUAAUUGUUUCGUUGAGUUGUCGAAUUAUAAUUUCUAAUGAAAAUAAAAUCGAAAUAUUAUUCUCAUUUAAUUGCGAAAGUCAAAAAUACGAUUAAAAUCGA